AAAAAAAUAUCAUGCAGCACACAAUCGAGAAAAAAAAAUAUGCAAAAGAGAGCGCUCAAAAAAAAUUUUCUACAUGUAACUCUACUGAUGCUCUUCACUUCAGUAUUGUGUCCACAGGCUUGCAAGAUUUUGCAUUUUUGAGCAGGCACAUUUGCUUAAAAGAACACGGGGUGAACAGUGGAUAACAUCACAGGGAUUCUACCGCCUUUGGAGCC